rnacentral:rRNA from 1 species
CUACGGGGGGCUGCAGUCGAGAAUCUUCCGCAAUGGACGAAAGUCUGACGGAGCGACGCCGCGUGCGGGAUGAAGGCCUUCGGGUUGUAAACCGCUGUCAGUGGGGAGGAAAUGCAUCAGGGUUCUCCCUGGUGUUUGACCGAUCCGCAGAGGAAGCGCAGGCUAAGUUCGUGCCAGCAGCCGCGGUAACACGAACUGCGCGAACGUUAUUCGGAAUCACUGGGCUUAAAGAGUUCGUAGGCGGUCUUUCAAGUCGGGUGUGAAAUCCCUCGGCUCAACCGAGGAAUUGCGCCUGAACUGUUGGGCUUGAGGGGGAAAGGGGUGAGCGGAACUGAUGGUGGAGCGGUGAAAUGCGUUGAUAUCAUCAGGAACACCGGUGGCGAAGGCGGCUCACUGGAUCUCUUCUGACGCUGAGGAACGAAAGCUAGGGGAGCGAACGGGAUUAGAUACCCCCGUAGUC